AUUGAACGCUGGCGGUAGGCCUAACACAUGCAAGUCGAGCGGCAGCGGGAAAGUAGCUUGCUACUUUUGCCGGCGAGCGGCGGACGGGUGAGUAAUGCCUGGGGAUCUGCCCAGUCGAGGGGGAUAACUACUGGAAACGGUAGCUAAUACCGCAUACGCCCUACGGGGGAAAGCAGGGGACCUUCGGGCCUUGCGCGAUUGGAUGAACCCAGGUGGGAUUAGCUAGUUGGUGAGGUAAUGGCUCACCAAGGCGACGAUCCCUAGCUGGUCUGAGAGGAUGAUCAACCACACUGGAACUGAGACACGGUCCAGACUCCUACGGGAGGCAGCAGUGGGGAAUAUUGCACAAUGGGGGAAACCCUGAUGCAGCCAUGCCGCGUGUGUGAAGAAGGCCUUCGGGUUGUAAAGCACUUUCAGCGAGGAGGAAAGGUUGGUAGCUAAUAACUGCCAGCUGUGGCGUUACUCGCAGAAGAAGCACCGGCUAACUCCGUGCCAGCAGCCGCCGUAACAC
rnacentral:rRNA from 1 species